GUAGGGAAUCUUGCGCAAUGGGCGAAAGCCUGACGCAGCCAUGCCGCGUGAAUGAUGAAGGUCUUAGGAUUGUAAAAUUCUUUCACCGGGGACGAUAAUGACGGUACCCGGAGAAGAAGCUCCGGCUAACUUCGUGCCAGCAGCCGCGGUAAUACGAAGGGGGCUAGCGUUGCUCGGAAUUACUGGGCGUAAAGGGCGCGUAGGCGGACAGCGUAGUCAGAGGUGAAAGCCACGGGCUCAACCUUGGAAUUGACUUUGAGACUGGCUGUCUUGAGUUUGGGAGAGGUGAGUGGAACUCCGAGUGUAGAGGUGAAAUUCGUAGAUAUUCGGAAGAACACCAGUGGCGAAGGCGACUCACUGGCCCAAUACUGACGCUGAGGCGCGAAAGCGUGGGGAGCAAACAGGAUUAGAAACCCUAGUAGUCC
rnacentral:rRNA from 1 species